GUACACUCCUGCGGGAGGCAGCAGUGGGGAAUUUUGGACAAUGGGCGAAAGCCUGAUCCAGCAAUGCCGCGUGAGUGAAGAAGGCCUUCGGGUUGUAAAGCUCUUUUGUCAGGGAAGAAACGGUGAAAGCUAAUAUCUUUUGCUAAUGACGGUACCUGACGAAUAAGCACCGGCUAACUACGUGCCAGCAGCCGCGGUAAUACGUAGGGUGCAAGCGUUAAUCGGAAUUACUGGGCGUAAAGCGUGCGCAGGCGGUUUUGUAAGUCUGAUGUGAAAUCCCCGGGCUCAACCUGGGAAUUGCAUUGGAGACUGUAAGGCUAGAAUCUGGCAGAGGGGGGUAGAAUUCCACGUGUAGCAGUGAAAUGCGUAGAUAUGUGGAGGAACACCGAUGGCGAAGGCAGCCCCCUGGGUCAAGAUUGACGCUCAUGCACGAAAGCGUGGGGAGCAAACAGGAUUAGAUACCCGUGUAGUCCCAU
rnacentral:rRNA from 1 species